GCGAGAGUAACUCAGUGGUAGAGUGUCAGCCUUCCAAGCUGUUCGUCGCGGGUUCGAUCCCCGUCUCUCGCUCCA
rnacentral:tRNA from 1 species